rnacentral:tRNA from 1 species
GGGCUCGUAGCUCAGCUUGGUAGAGCACCGGACUUUUAAUCCGAUGGUCGAGGGUUCAAAUCCCUCCGAGCUCG